UAAAAAACAACAACAACAACUAAGAAUGGGUGUGACAGGGCAUACUCUCCCUACCCUGACCUGGAGCUGUUUAAUUCAGCCCUAAUGGCCACACCCCCUUUACCUUACUGGGCAUGCUUGAGCUGCACUGCUAUAAAAGAGAGCAGCUCAGCUCAUUUGGAGCUGGCAGACAGAGGGAGAGGAUGUGCCUGGCUAGCUCCCUGCAAACCCUAGCGACUGCCCAACUGCUGAGAUGCUACCACAAAGGCAUCUAGAGACUGCACAGGUUCCAGAAGCAAGUGGAAGUAGCCAGAUCCCAGAAAAAGGAGGAGGAGAGCUGGAGAGUGACCAGUGACCAGAGACAUUUGAAACAGGAAGCACCCCAGGACUGGUGAUGGCUACAGGUCUAGAUACGCAAACAACUGAAGAAAAGACAUCGCUGACUGCAAUUUUUUCUCGCUGAAUCAUUCCACCAGCUACUACUGUUCAGAUUCUUAAGUGGUAACACGAAAAGACAAGGCCUGGCACACUAGUGAAAAUGCAUCGUGAAAAAGGAAGUGGAAUGUGAAAUGCUGCAACCAGCAGUCACAUAUGCAAAACCAUCCGAAAGACUCAAAUUCUUUGGACCACAGUACCAUCUGUCAUAAACGGUUACUUUGAGGAUUGGAGAUAGUGAUUCAAAAGAAGAGCUGCUUACACAUGUAAAGAACAUGUAAAGAACGUUUGCUUGGGUUGACGUCCUGAUUUGAACUCAGGUCCUUCCAUUUUUUUUUUUAAAUAUUGCAUGCCUCUAGAUAGAAGAAAAACGGUUGGAGCUGACAGUUGUGAUAUAUGCUUAUUUAAUGUGGAACUGCUAGAGAAGGAGGACAAAACCUCAUUUAAAACUGGGCUGACAUUGGUUUUCCCAACAUAAAAAAA